GGCAUGCCCCAGGGCGCGGGGCCGGCCCUAACGAAUUUGAAUGAAGAGCCCUGCUCUUUCGGCGCCAUUUUCGAGUGAUGCCCGAUCGCAUCGCUGCCGCGGGGGAGCCGCGGAGAGCGCGGCCGCCGCCGAAAGCCGCUUCGCUCCGCCGCCGGCCUUCGCGUUUCUCUCUCCCCCUCCCCGCCGCGCUCCGGAGCGGUGCCACGGGCGGUUUCGACCUUUCAAUAGAGAGCUGAUUUUGGAGAACGGCUUAGUCCUGUGAUUGAAAAACUCUUUCUGGAAGGUUGAUGGAGCAGGAGCAUGAGCAUUUUGAUUGCCGUCCAUCACUUCCACAGAAGCCUCAAUAUUGCCAUUCCAAAUGACUCUCUUUAUUUUUGUUUGUUGACAUGACUGCAGUGAAGGACUGGUGCACCUCCUACAACAGAACAUGCAAGUCAGGUCAGUGUAAGCCAUGGUUGGAGUACUGAGAUGAAUUUAAAGGGGUUUAGAGCUGAAUUUAAUACUGAUGGACCAUAACUGCAUUCUCAGACUUCCAUAUAUUUUUAAACUGCAGACUUUCUUAACGUUUUGGUUUUUUUUUUUAGCUGACUUUGUUACUUUAUGUUUAUCUUUUGCAGUAGCUCUCCAGAUAGUCUAAAUAUGUUUGUUUAUGAUCCUUGGAGGAAUGGCUGGCCACAUGUUAUAGAUUCUCCAAAUUUAGCAACAGUAAAUUUCUGUAAUCAGCAGUUAUCUGCUUAAAUUUCAUUAGUAAUAUUUUACAUUGCACAGAACUUCUGUCAUUGUCUCAGUCUCUCACUGUGUAUACACAGGAAAAAUUGUUGACACGAUUGUGAAACAGUUAACAGAUAAAUACCCUUUUUUUCCUCAAAGUUUGUGUGCUUGACCUUACCCAUAAUUUACAACCAAAACUGCAGAGCAGUUCUAGCUAUCUCUGUUCAAAUAAUCAUCCUUGUGUUCAGAAAAUUAUCCAAAGCACUGUGUCUUUUUAAUGCAUAUUGAUGCUAGUCUUAAAAAUAUUUAGCUGCUUGGUAGAAGAUAGGGGAAGAUUUAUGGGGAGAGUGUAUAAGCUUGAUCCUGAAAUGACUGCACCUUUCUGUGGUGAAGUGAUGCUAAUUUAUUCCCGCAUUACAGUCAUUUAAUAAUAAUAAAUAAUACUAAAAAGAAAACCCACAGAAUUGUUAGGUCAAAAAAAAAAUUGCUUUUUAGAACUGCAGUCCUAACUGUGAGUUCAGAGUCUUACUAUUACUUCCAGAUAAAGGUAAUUAAGGUAUAUAUUUCUCUCCAUUCUUUUUGCUCUCUGGACCACACAGUAGUCUCAAUUAAGUUGAGAGCAUUAAGUGAAUGUCAUAGGCUAUACCCGAACCAAGUAACAGUGCAGUCGUUGCCAAAAGUGCACCAGUAUCUUUAAAAUAAUGUUUAGAGUUGGUAUUUCAAUUGAAUCUUUCCUCCUUUUCUUGUUAUCUGCAUGUCACUGAAAGCAAAGGCUGUGAAGAAGCCCUUUAGUCCUAAAUAUUCAUGUCAACUAAAGCAGCCAGUGGAGAGGGAUGGCAGAAUAUUUGACUCGCAUCUAUUUUAAAAUGUAAGUUUUAAAAAUGAACAAGGCUAUAAAUUCCUGCAUGUUUGCAGUAUAAAUAUUACAGUGUUGAGCAAGCAUAAGACAAGAAGUGAAACUACUAUUGUUUAAACUGGUGGGGAAAAAAGCAAACAGUGCAUUAUCAAGACUCAGCUCCAUACACUUUUAGAUAUCAAAACGUGGAUGCUUAAGAAUAGAAAUGUUUGUUUUUCUUAAUACUGUGGUGACAAUGUCUCUUCAAUUCUGUCUUUUUCACAGAGGUAAGGUUUGCUGGUAUCCCAGAUUAAUUUGAUAGAAAGUGUGUAUUUGAAGCAAGCAUUAACUGUUAAUGUGCAUGUUUGUGCUGAACAGUGUUUAGGUGGCGCUGACUUGUGGUCUGAAGGGGCAGCUUUGCAAGUUUACCUGCAGUGUAAAAAAAAAAAAAAAAAAAAAAAAAAUCUCACUGUAAAAUGUCUGUCAUAUGAUUAAGUUAUGCUCUUCUUGGAAUGCACAAAACAGAUGUCAGAACUGCUGUCUGCACACAACCCCAUCUCACAUCAGCUUAAAGGGGUUAAACUGGGAGAGCUUGCAUAUGGGGAUGUACUUUCUGAUGACUGUGUUAUGGGUGCUACAUAGCACUGGUGGGAAGCACUGCCAUGCUUCUGACUUGAAACUCUGAGAGCCUUCCAGUCUUUCACCCUUUGUUCUCUAGUUUUAAACUGCAGUGAGGUUGGAAAGGGUGACAGUGAACAGCGAAGCUGUGCUUUCAUAGUGUAUCUGUGUUGCUUUGCAGUGAUGAACAAGUAACCCAAACAAAGAAAUAUGGCUGUGUGUGAAUGGUGUCUGACUAUCAGCGUGGAAGGUGCACUGGCCAAGAAAUAUCAGGAGAGAGCUGUUGGUGUCUGAGCACAAUGUGCCAAGUAAAUGUUUAAGCUUAUGGCACAUUCCUGGGCAUCUGACACGAUGUACUAUAUUUAAUAGAAAGGCCUUGGUUUGGUUUAUUCCAAAUCACCGGGCUGUCAGAUUGCUGGCUGGUAGCACCUCUUGGAAUAUAACUUGUUAUUUAAAUUAAACUUAUUAGUAGCUAUAGUUGCCACAAAUUCACUUUGAAUCCCAUGAAAAUCAAUUCCGAAAGAAAAUGGAGUUGGUGUUAUCAUAAACUCUUUACCAUAAGCCAAUAAAAAACUGAUGGCAGUUUUUUACAUUAGACUGUUCCUUGAUACAUCAACUGAAACACUGGAAUCGAGAAAAGGCUUUCUGACCACCACUAUUUUUCUUUUCUUUUUGUUUUUUGUAAGCAGUUUCCCUGCUUUUCUAAUUUCAUUUUCUAUUUUCUUAUUCCUUAUUUCUCUGUACAUGUAAAGAGCCUCCUUCAUUGGUAUUUAAAUUCCAGCUCUUCAGAACUCUUCUAUCUUUCUCAGCAGAGCUCCUGCUUGGAGGGGGCCUAGUGGAGAGACCUAAUGGAGUUAUCUGUACACACGAUCCCCUGCUUUUAUUGAGGCCUCCUCAGUAAUUUGUCCCCCAGCAACAACUGAAGACAUAAGGAUAGAGAUAGAAAAGCAAUCAUUAGCACGACUGUGUCAGCUUUGUGACCAAAGCACAGAGGUACAAGGCUUUGUGCAGAUGCUCCUGGAUAUCAGUGGAUAUCUUGCUUAAUUAUCUGUAUGCUUUUUAUCUUGGUCUUCUUCCUUUCAUCCUUUUCCUGUUUUUCAACCCUUUCUCUCAAAUAUAUCAUCUUCAAUUGUAACUAGCUUCUACUCAUUAAAAUGUAUUUUUAAUAGCAAAGUAGAAGAUGUACACCCGUGGUUUUUGUUUUUAAUUUUAUUUCUUGGUUGGGGGAAUUUUUGGUAGUGAAGAUCUUUUUAAAAAGUAAUCCUAUAAUGCAUGUGAAGUUUUGUAUUCGUGUUUGGGGAAGGGGGGAAAUUACCUGCCAGUUCUCUUAAAGUAUUCACUGGGGAAAAUAGCGUAAUAGUUCUGCCAAGUCUUCAUCUCUUGGGGGGCGUGUAGUUUAAUUUUAGAGGGAUUUACUUAUGCAGAAGAGGAGGGGGGAUUAAUUAAAAAAAAAAAAAAAAAGCCCACUCAUUCUGAAGCUAGAAAGCUAAAACAAGCAGGCAAUUAGGCAACUGAAACAACAGUAUCUAGUUUAACACAGCUUAAAAUUAAAAAUUUGGCCUGGAUGUAUAAAUGAGAAAUGCACUUCCAAAGGUAUUAAAUGUUGUAGCUGUCUUUUUUAAGAAUCAUGAAAUUCUGAUAUCUUAAGGUAAAACUUACAAGUAAAAGGCAGUAUUUGAUCUUGUGAGAAAUUUUCUUGUCUUUUCCCAGAAAAGUUUAAGUGAAUCUUUUUCCUGCUUUCUGGCUAAUAUCUUUACAAACAUAUUCUUCUUACCUUCUCCCCUUUUGCUUUAUGCAUACAUAGAUGCAGAUACACACAGUGGAUUAUGUUUGGCAUAGUUUCUUUGGAGGGAUGAUCAGCUGUGACAACAUACUGUUGCAGUUAGGUUCCUUUUGCCUUUACAUUCAGAUUCUACAUCACCAAGGUACUGGACCCUUUUAGCAGAGGCUGUCCUGCUGUAUUACUAUAGGAGCAAACACUGGAAAGAAAGGAAGGAAAACUUAGCAAACUUUCCCAUAUGUG